UGUGUGUGUGUGUGUGUGUGUGUGUGUGGUAUUCAACCAGCAAGUUGUUUUCUUUUGGUUUUCUCCUUCGAAAAACUUUACUGCAUUUACUUUUUUUUUUUUUUUAAAGGCAAAAGGCGUAACUGGAUAGUGAGUGUGAGACAGCCUCCUCCUGAGAUUUCCAUUCAGCGUUCUACUAAGCCAGAGUAUGCCCAGCUGUGUUAAUUUUUUUUUUUUUAGCUUAGUCCUGUGUUUGUUACUCACGUAACAAAAACUUUUCUCAGUUGCAUUUUAUUUUUAUUUAAACCAGAAGCAAAAUUAUUUUGUGUUAAGAUAUAUGCAAAAUUAUCCCAGGAAAGUAUUUAAUCCACCAUUGUGAAUGGAAUAGCUUAUACAAAAUGUAUUCUGCAGAUCAUUUAUGUUACUGGUUGUUAAUUUACAAAGUAGUAUGGUACAUGUCCCAACAAACUAUUCAAAAGUAUCUUGGGGUCACAUGAUUUUUUUUUUUUUUUUAAAGUGUUACAUUAAAACUCUUAACCAUGAAAGGGAUUCUUUAAGAAUAUUCCCUUAGAGGGAUAAAGUUAAGAAGUGUGCCUUUUUCUUUUUUUUUUAAUGGCUUAAAGUUUCAGAGGUGAUAGAAAUUAAAAUCACACUACCAUUUGAGGCUCAUGCUCUGCAGGUUUUAAAUGUCAUUUAUGUAUGGUUCAUUAUGUGUCAUACUUCAGCUGUGUUAGCUUUCUUUUGCCCCAGAUCAAACUGAACAUUGUAUAUAACACUGUCUGUAAAAUACUUUUUUUAAAAAAGCAUUUAUAUUUAUAUGACAGCUUGAACUGACAACAUUAUGUAUAUAGAUCAUCUUGAAGUAUUAUUUCACAUUGAAAAGAAGAAAAAUAUAUUGAUAACUAUAGAUGUUAUGAAGAAGAGGUUAUUUCUAGUUUUGUACUAAAAAUCAAUUGGAUGAACUUAAUCCAAAACAGGACACUGCAGCAGCAACUUCCGGUGUUAUUUUUACUGUUUAUAUAUUUGAAGGCUGCUACACCGGAUGACCUUCGUCCCUGACGUUUUCAGCUAAACUUGGUUUCCUAGAAUAGACUGUUAACUUUCAAAUUUCCUUUUUAUUGCUAAAAUGGGAAUACUGAUUUUCCUUAGGACUGAAUAUUCAUAUUUGUAAGUGCUGAUUUGAUAAUUCAGGUUUGAGCAAGGUGUGAAUAACUGAAGAAAAUAACUUGCUGGCUCUAUAGGAAAAUGCUGUGGAAAUGAGCUGUGUAUAUACUUCUGGGAAGAACAAAAUUAAUCAUUUCUUCUGUUAAGCACUAACCAGCAUAGUGCAUCUCCUGGUUCUGUACUGUAUUUUAUAUGCAACAUAUAUGCUUUAAUAUUUUAAUGUUUGUGCAUUAAUAUUUUCAGUUUGUUUAACCACUUUGCUGCUAAGAUUUUGCCGUCCCAUUCCCAUAUUUUUCCUUUAUCAUUUUAAACGUUUCUUCAUUAAAACUAUGGUGAUGAAAUGAUUUUUUUCACCUUGGAUCUUUGUAAUUAACAUACAUGAUUUCCAAUCAGUCCAGAAAACUGAAUCCCUGUAUGAAAACAAAUGGACAGUUUACUCCCUCAUCCCAAGCGUGUGCAGGGGCGUUCAGGAACACAUUCUCAUUCUCUGUACAGACUGGGCACUGCCACUGGCCAUUUCCUUUGAAAUGUUUCUCAUUUUGCCUGAAUAUACACAAAUGGCUCAACAAAACUGUUAAAUAUUGAAAACGAAAAUCUUACCUAAGUGGCAUGACAGGAAAGAAUUGGGCCUGAUGAGCUUGUUUGCCCCCAAAUUGGUAGUGAUACUUGGGACUCUACAGGCAGUUGAUUUCGGAAGCAGUGGCCGCGUGUGGAGCUUCAGCACCACCUGCUGGAUGAUUGUAGACCAGAGCCCAGAGGUGGAGAUGGGGUUCUGCUCUGCUCCUCACUGCUGCCAGUAAAGGGCUACUGAGGGGUGACCACCGCCACCAGGGAAGCCAGGGGCAAGAAACAACUCAAAGGAGAUGUAUAAUGAGUCUUUCCUCUAAUGCAUUUGGUUGGUCACUGAAAGGUUUUAAGCACUUUUUUCUUACAUAUCCUGUUUCAAAAUAUUUAUUGAUACUUGGAACUGGCAGUCAGACUUACUGGAUGUACUGAAGCAUUUAGAGUGCCAGUUCUUUUAACUCACAAAAGCCAUUACCAAAAUGGUAUUCUUAUUUUUCUUCCCAUUGCCAGUCAGGGAGAAUUUUUUAAAAAAUAAGCAUAAUUGCCUGUAUUUUAUCAUGACAACUUAGAGAGUGUGUAUAUGUUUCUGAGAUGAUGAUGGGGGGUGGGGCUUAAAAUUUAAAGGGAAAAACUUGAAACUACCUAUUUUCAUUGGUUAUUCAGCAGUGCCUAAAAUGAGCUUUUGAAAUAAUACAAAUGCACUUUGAAUUCGUGUGUAUAGUGCCAUCUGAUAUCUUGGGUAAGUCUUGCUUUUCCUUUCUACUCCCUUCUUCCCCUUAGUUAAAUGGCACACAGGUAUUUUCUAAUAUCCAUGUCAGUCUCUAGGCUACAGGAAACUCAUACUUUCCUCUAAAUGGACAAUUUAGAGAAUUUUAAGGAUGUUUCUUCUGUUGAAAUGUAGUGUUUAUGAUUACAUUUGGAAUAUGCAACUUGGAAAUAAUGUGUUUAAAAAUAGCUUUUAAUUGUAGUUCAAUAGUGCAUUAAGCAAGUAUAACAUUUUUCUAAAAAGGAACUUUGAGAACUUUAGUUAACUGAUUAAAAACAUAUUUCACUAAAUGUUCUCAGUCUUACUCUGACCUCCACAGUAAUUCCAAUAUGAGGGAAAGCACUACAAACUUGCUUUAUUAUUGCACUCAGAAAAAGGUCUAUAAAUCACCAUAACAGGAACAGAUGGUGUCUUGUGGUGAGUCGAGCUAAAAAUAUUUUUAAAAACAAAAUACAAGCAGAGGUGAUUUAUAUAAACCAAAAAGUGGAUGGAAGGGGAAGAAAAAUUUAAAAGGGCUUUAAGGUACGGUUCGCCCAGCAGCCAGGUGAUUGAUUAGAAAACGUUCAUCUGCUUUGGUACACUGAUUAAUGUCAGCCACGGCUCCUGAAAGCUUCUAAAACUGCAUACGUUGUUUUGAAAUUAUUUCAAGAAUAA